GGGAAGUUGUUGUUGUUGUUUGGGAGGUCCAACUUGAACCUUAGAACUUCAAGACUCAAAGUUUGUGUUCUUGGUGUUCUUCACCAUCUCCAUAUAUUGUUGAAAAAAAGUGGUUGUUGAUCUUAGAAGUUGAAGAAAAAGAGUGUGUAUUAUGUUAGUCUUGCAAGACAUAGAUCCAAGUUUCAAGGUGUAGUACUUGUGACUCAAAGACUUUUCCUACACACUAAAGACUUUACAUCACUUCUCAACCACUUUCCCAUGAAACAAGGGUCCAUUUUUUAUGGAGAAGUACAAGAAAAAGUCAAGUCUUGAAAAUUGCAAAAGGCUCCAAGACAUAUUUUCCCUCCUAAAACAAAUUCCACCAAUCUAAAUUAAUUUUUGACCAAGAUUUGAACCUUUGAGAAUAACCACUUGAUAAAACCAACCCAAUAUGUGGCUGCCACAUCAUCACUGCUACUGUUCACGCAAUAUUUUUGAGCUCAAAUUUUAGAUUCUUAGUUUCAUCUUAUUGUUUCAUUAGUUUCAUGUCUUGAUUCUAGAAUUAAUUAACAACUAGUAAUCACCUACUUAGUUGUAUAUUAAUUAUUGAAUCUGCUUCUUCCUGUCUUCGUUAUUUGUGUGCUUUUCUCAUUUUUAACUCGUAACUUCUUUGUUUUAAGUUCAUAAGUAAAUUUUUUUUUGUUUUUUGAGUCGAUCAAGCAAGAAUCCAUUUUGGCCGCCAAGUAGAAUUGACAUCUUAUUUACUACCAAAGUAUAAGCAACUUUCAAUAUUUGCUGCUCCAAUUGUGAGGAUUACAAAAGUGAGUGAAUACGAGUGUUGGUGAGUUUCUUUUACUACUAAUCUUGUUUGUUCAUUUUGUAGGUUCAAAAGGUGAUAUAAGGGGAAUAUGUCUUCGGUAGCCGGGGAUUAUUGUGACUACAACAUGGGAGACUAUGGUUGUAGUAAGGGGUUUUAUGGCUACAAAGUUGAGGGAGAUUGCGGAGGCUAUGAAAUAGCCAUGAUCAAAACUUGGCCAGAUUUGAAAGUUACUAUUUUGAGGGAGAAAAUGAGGUGAAUGAAGUGCCUAGUGCUUAUGGUGACUUUGAAGAUGAUGUAGGACCUCGUGAUGGAUCUUAUGAUAACGUUGGGGCAUGUGAGGAGUCCUACACUUCUCACUCCAAACCUAGAUUUGGUGUUAGGUAUAAUCCUUUCAUUCGCAAAGCUUAUGAGAGUUAUGAUGAGAGUACAUGUGAGGAGUGCGAAGAUUCAUAUUCUCCACCUUGUAGUACUUCUUAUCAAGAUCGAUAUAGUGUGAAUGGUUAUACUAGCUCUAGUGGAGGUUGUUCAACGAGAAGAAGAGAGUAUGCACCUCCAAAACCGAGGGGUACUCGUGUCCUUUACAAUGUUGAUCCAAGGAGUGUACACUCCAAAAAAGUGACCAUUUGUAGGAUACCAAGCUGCCUCGUUGUGUUAAAUGAUAGAUACUAUAGAAACUACAUCGUUCCAUCCAUGGUUAACUACUUGGGGUUGUUUUGUGAGCCUUUACUCAUUCCAUACUUCCUGGACGGGUUUAAGGUUACCGAGAGGGUCAAAGUUGUCUUCUCCCAAUUUGAGUACCAUGAGGAGGUGUGGUGUGAUAUUCUUCUACUGAUAUAUGGUCAUGUAUGCUUAGGUGUCUAUUGGUUUGCACAACAUAGAGUUCCAAUGUGCAAAAUUGGCCUAAUAUUGUAAGAGACCGGUGGGGAAAUCACCUUAUGACAUACAUGUUGCCCAAGCUACAAAGAGAAGUGAAUACUUACUCCAAUCCGAAUACUUAUAAGAGAAAAAAAUUGAGAGGAGUAAGGAAGUGUGCAAGGUGGUAAACUGAGAGUGGAAAAAAGAGAGGUUGUGUGGAGCGAAGUGAGGGGAUUAUCACCAAACCAUGCUAACAUUGGUUGUCCUUCUAUUUCUAAGGAUAUUUGUAUAGGUACCAACAUGGCAAGCGGAGGCAAUCAUACCAAAAGGAAGUUGCUGGCCAAGCUUAUAGAGGACCUUUACACCACGGCAAAGAAGAAUCUACUCAAGAAAUUUAAGGUAAAAUAGCUAACUCUUACACUUUGGUGCAUGAUAAUGAUAUUCAUGUGGCUAGUAGCCCAUUGAGUGUGAGUAGUAGCUUACUUACUUAUGAGUCAAAUGAUUCUUUGUCUCAUGUUGAUGAUGUGCAUGUUGUGAGUGUGGAUACACUAGUUGAUCCUAUUGAUGUCCAAAUUGACUCUUUUUGUAAGGUUAAUUUAUGUCCACCUAGUGUUGAAACCUAUAUGUUGAAUAUAAGUACAUCAUCUUGUCUAAUCGGUGUUGAUCAAUUUACUUGUGAAAAUUGUCCACCACUUGAGUAUGUGUGUGAUGUGAUUAAUAGAACUCAAGUGAAUGAAGUACUUGAAAAUAUUGGUCACCAAAAUGGGCGUGAACCCGAGAGCCAUUCUUGGGACAAUCUUAUGCUUGAAAUCUCUUUGAAACAUGAUAUUGAUCUUUUAGAGAGUGGUGAACGUGUUUGUUCCGAAUCUGCCUGGGAAAUAGAUCAUGCUCUCUUUAGGUAUAAUGUCUUGUUUGAAGAUGAUUUAAACACUCCUAAUGAACCUAGUGGUGAGAAUAGUGGUAUAGCUUGCCUUGAAGGCUAUAGCCGAUAUGCUAACCCACUAUGGUGUGACAACAUUCCUCCUAAAUAUGAAAAUCUCUUUUUGAAAGAUGAGAGUACUCUUAAUGGUAAGAAAUGUGUAGUGCUUCUUGAAAACCCAAGGGAAAAGGUGCCAUUGACUCCUUCGGGUAAUGUUCCUAAUUGUGCAUCCUUGUUUGACAAACUUAUGCCUAAAUUACAUGAAUUCCAACUUGUGGAUGCCAAGUUGUCUAGUUAUUUGAAAUAAAGAAUGUGUAUCUGCUUAAAUGCUUAUUCUUCACCCUUGUAUGCCUUUGCAUGUGAUUCUUUCCUAUACUACCUCUUUGCCUAUAAUGACGUCUAUGCUAGGUUUAGAUUUUAUGUCAACAUAGGAAGUUUGUUGGACUAUCCAUGUGUGUGCGUGAUAAUGCUAUAUGGAUUUUAUGGGCUUUAAAACCAAUCAAAACCCCCCUUGGUGUGGUCAUUUGAUGAGACAAAGAAGCAAUGGUGUCUUAUAUAGCUCAUAAGAUGAAGGAAGUUCGACCUUGUGGAUUAUAUGAUGUCAUUAGUACCUAUGUAGUUUCUUUAUCUCUUGGUGAUUCCCGUAACCAAAUCCUGUGUACACCUUUUAUUGAGCUUUUAAUAUUUAAUUCAAAGGAUCCUUAGUUAUAUUGCAAAAAUGUGCAACCUUCGCAUGUUUAGAUGAUUUGUUGUGCUAACCCUAAUCCUAAUUCCUUGAGGAGUUUGUAGUUGUUUAUUCUCUCUUUGGUUUUGCAAGGUUUGGAUUCAAGGUCGAAUCCUUUUCAAGAAGGGGAGGAAGAUACAAGAAUAAUGGCCGCCUUAGCUUUCGAUGACAUCAUUCAAAGUCACUAUGUGAAGAAUCAAGCUUUGGUCGCAUGGAGGGCACGAGAUCAUACUUGGAGGGGAUGUUUUGAGCCUACUACAGAUCAAACCCGAGUAUGGAAGAUUUCUUGGAGCCUUGAAGACUUAAGGACUCUCUGGUUUGGACCACCUUUGUUGGUUCACGGUUUUGGUUCCUUUUAUGAAGGGAAUUUUGGUCACUUAGCCUUAAGGGAAUUUUGGACAAUUCAUAUUCUUUCCAACACACCAAGGCCACCAUUGGUCAUUAAGGGUAGUGUAGUCUUUUUUGCCUUCUUUUGUAAUAUACUAUAAGUAGGAUUUUUUUAGGUCUUCUCACAUUAGUUUUGGAAUAAUGAAAGAUUGAAAGACAAAUCCUCUCCCUUGAGAGUAGAACACUUUAGGUAGUCUUACUUUAGGGCUUGCAAAAGCUAAUAUUGAUCUUUGCUUGGAAACGGUGAAUUUUGAGUUGAGUUGAUUCCCUUGGCAGUCACUGUAAGAGUGUGGUUUGGAUUAUUACAUUAAUUAGGGGUUUUUGAGUUUAAUACACUCUUUAGUUCUUAAUAUUGUAAUAAUCUUGGUCUCUCUAUCUAUCCUUUACUUUUGUUGUCAUUAUCUUGUGUAGUGGAUUGUUUUGGGUCCUUUAUUGAAUCCAAAACUUGUGUUAUUGUUGUUCAUCUUGUUCAUCAUGUUUUGUAGGUUUUUUUUGAUGAUAUAUACAUCAUUGUAUCUUUUACUCUUCUUGUUGAUAGCGAAUCCGAGAGUGGUCUCCAAAAUGGUCCUUGGAUCCUUAAGAUUUGCAAACUGUUUUGGAGUUGUUUUGUGUUUCUGUUGCCUUUAUUGUUUCAUCAAGUACACCUUUCUUGCCAAAUUAUCCAACACAAGUGAAGCCCUAAAUUCAAAUGUUCUUGGACCAAUUUUCAGAUUCUAAGAGCUAAAACUACAAGACUAAAGAAAUAAUCUAAGAAUAAUAUCCAAUUUCAUCAAAGUCUAAUGAAAAUACAAGCUAAAGGGUCUAUUUAUACUUAUUACAACCAAUGACCAAAAUACCCUUAAUGAAGGGUGCUCCUUUGGAGUGUAAAAAUGUCAUUAAAAGACAAGAAUGCCCUUAAUGAAUAGGAGCCUAUGUGUUGUAGGAAUCCUUCCUUCUCUCUUCAUUUGAACAAGGCUUUGUAAUGUCUCCAAAAGGUCUUUUAGUACUUGUAAAUUCCGAAGCUUGUUCCUUUGAGAAGUCUUUGCAAUCCUUAUGCACUUUAGGCUUGUAUCAAUUAGUUAUGUAUUAAUGUUCAGCCUAGUUCAGCCUAUUCCAGUACCAGUGUUAGUUCAAUUAGAAGUAGGAUUUAGCACCGAGCGAACUUAGGGAUGAGGUCUCACCUGACAGCAGAGGGUGUGACCCAAGUUUUAAAACUACAUAGUUAGUAUAGGUUAGAGAUAACUACCUGCCAGUUGAGGGAUGACAAAGUAUUUACCUACCAGUUAAGGGUGACACAUAUCUUAUUAGAGCACUUGCCAAUUGAGGGUGUGUCAUUAGUCCUUUGGGACACCAGUUUAGUGGAUCCACACAGCCAGUGUUAGUAACUAUGGCAUGGUACUAACACCCUUCUAACUGGGGUUAUAGGUUGGCCCUUAAUUAGCUUAGAUUGGGGAAUAUCGGUUAGAUAAUACCUCCCACAGUUUCAGUAAAAUAUUCAAUAUAGUUUCAAUUCAAGUUUUCCUGACCAAAGCAUAAAGAUUCUCAGUUAUUCAGUUAUCAGAUUUUAGUCUUUCAGUUUAUAGAUUAUUUUAGAUAUAUGUUUAUGCUUGGUCUUGCAUUCUCAGAUGUUAUAGUUUUUAUGCAUUCAUGUUCAGUUAUCUCAUGCUAUUCAGUUGGUCCUUAUCUCAUAUGCAUAGUACCCUAUGCCUAACCUCAUCUCAUAUACCAGUACAUUCAAAGUACUGACCACAUAAUCUUCUUUGUGAUAUGAUAUCUUAUAUCAUAGAUUCAAAUGCAUAGGACACCACAGUUAGAUAGCUCAGCAUAAUCUAGAAGUCAUAGUGGUGAGUCCUAAUCCAUCGAGGACAUAUUAUGUUUAUUCAGUUAUUUCUAUAUUUUAUUUUAUUCAGUCAGUCGGAGUUAGUUGGGGAUCUAUCCUAUUAACUUCUCAGUUAGUUUAGAGGCUUUCAAACAUUUAGACAGUCAGUUAUAUAGUUAGUCAGUUAGUCAUUUUUUAGUUUUUAUCAUGUUUAUCAGACUUAUGUUUGGUUUAGUAUUUCAAUUCUUAGAUUUAUAUUUCCUUCUUAGUUUAUCUUCUACACAGGUGUUAUGUUCAUAUUUAUUUAGUGCUCCCAGCAGGUACCAGCUAAUGGAUUAGAUUGUGGUCACUUGUGACUGUAAGCAAUAUUUUCGCGACUAGACCGCCUUGGGUCGUGAAAAAACUUGGUAUCAGUUCCCAAAGUUUUAAAGUAUCCUAGAAAGUUUGAAAGUUGCAUUAAGUAGAGUCUUGUGCAUGGGUGUGAAGCGCGCUGCACUUAUGGACAAGAGGCUACAAGACAUUUGAGGAAAAGUUUCCCUUUUUUCAUUAUUCAAUUCGUCUGAAAGAGCAUGAGCUCUACUUAAACUCUUUUUCUAACUUAUCCUUCAUUCUUUUUAUACAUAAUGACUCCCAAAAGAAAUAAAGGAAGCAGGAACGGGAAUUAGCCUGCACCAUUGCAAUUCAGAAAGAUCCCCUGAAUGAAAAUAUCUCAUACGCCGAGUUUAAAGCAGCUUUUACUGCCAGUGCUUAUUAAGUAGCUUCCCAAAAUAAUCAGCAAGCUGCUGCCCCAUCCAAUCUAGUAGCAAAUGCAGCUGCGGUUAGGAUUUGAGAUUUCACGCAGAUAAAUCCCCCUUAGUUUUUGAGAUCUAAGUCUGAGGAGGAUCCGUAGGAGUUUUUUUAUAUGGUCCAGAAGUGAAUGAUAUUAUGGGUGUCACUUCGAAUGAAAGUGUAGAGUUGGAUGCAUAUCAGUUAUAAGAUGUAUCUCACACCUGGUAUAAGCAGUGGAAGGAGGAUAAGAGUGUUAAGGUCGGGCCUGUAGAGUGGGAGGAGUUUUCUACGGCUUUUCUAGAUAGGUUCUUUCUGUUAGAGUUGAGGGAAGCUAAAGUGCAGGAGUUCAUCAAUUCAAAGCAAGGUAAUAUGAGUAAGAAGGAGUACUCACUUAAGUUCACUCAAUUAGCGAGGUAUGCUCCUUCGAUAGUGGCUUAUAAUAAGUCUAAAAUGAGUAAGUUUGUAUCUGGUGUAUCUUAUAGUACGGUCAAGAAGUGUAGGAUUACAACGUUGAUUAAGGAGUUGGAUUUAUCUACACUUAUGGUUCAUGCUCAGCAAAUUGAGAAAGAGAAGCUUAAAGAGAAAGAAAGAGAGAAUAAGAGGGCCAGAAUGAGUAGUUUUAACUUUUUUCAUCCAAGGUUAGAGCGUAGUAACCAUUCUCAGUUCCGUUAGAAGUCUUUAGCCCCAGCCUCAGCCCUAUCUUCAGAUAGUGUGCUAGUGCCUAAGUUCAAGCAAGAUAGUCAGGAUAGAGUGCCAGGCUUCAAGUCCCAAAAUAAUGUGAAUAGUGUUUAUACUAAUCCACUUUAUAGGAAUGUGGCAGGCAUCAUCAGGGUGUUUGUACAGUCGGCAGUGAUGUGUCUUUUGGAUGUGUAAGCCAAGACACAAGGGUCAGAUAUUUCCUAAAGGUUGGACAGCAGGGUCAUUUUAAUCGUCCUCCAGUUCUAUUUGGUUGCUCAACUCAGCAGGGUGUCACUUCCAGCACAACCAGUAGCGCCAGAAUAGAAUGUAUGCACUUCAGUCUCGACAGAAUCAGGAAAGUUCUAUUGUUGUGGCUAUGGGUACAUUACAGGUCUUUCAUCUUCGUGUAUGUGCUUUAUUAGACCCCAGAGUUUCACUUUCUUUUAUGACUCCUUUUACAACAGUCGAUCACGUUGUCAGUCCCAAAUUUUUAGCAGAACCUUUCUCAGUGUCUACUCGAAUAGGUAGCUCUAUUAUUGCAAAGCAGGUAUACAAAAACUUCCUAAUUAUAGUGUCCUAGAGAGUUACCUCAGCAGAUCUUAUGGAGUUAGAGAUGACUAAUUAUGAUAUGAUUCUCGACAUGGAUUGGCUCCACUCAUGUUAUGCCUCAGUUGAUCGCAGAAAUAGAGAUUCAGUUUUAGUUUCCUAAUGAACUAGUCAUUGAAUAGAGUGGUAGUACCUCUGUGUUUAGGGGUCAAAUCUUUUCCUAUCUUAAAGAAAGAAAAUGAUUUCUAAGGGGUGUGUUUACCAUUUUUUUUCAAGUCAAAGAAUCUAGAUUAAACUCGAAGUCUCAAGUCAAUUUUAGUAAUAAGAGAAUUUCCAGAUAUGUUCCCUGAAGACCUUCUCAAAGUUUCUCCUGAAAGGGAAAUUGACUUUGGAAUAAAUCUCCUUACAAAUACCCAUCCUAUCUUUAUUCCACCCUAAAGAAUGGCUCCAGCUGAGCUGAAAGAGUUAAAAGAGCAGUUGAAAGAUCUCUUAGAUAAGGGAUUCAUCAGGCCCAUUAUUUCCCAUGGGGCACUCCAGUCCUGUUCAUGCAUAAGAAAGAUAAUUCUUCCAGAAUAUACAUUAAUUAUCGUCAGUUGAACAAAGUCACGAUCAAUAAUAAGUAUCCACUCCCCAUAAUUGAUGACUUGUUCGACCAACUUCAAGGUGUCAGUUAUUUCUCUAAGAUAGACCUCAAAUCCGGCUAUCAUUAGCUUAGAGUCAGAGAAUGUGACAUUCUAAAGACAUCCUUCAUGGACUUGAUGAAUAGGGUGUUCAAGCAGUACUUGGAUAUGUUCUUCAUAGCCUUUAUUAAUGAUAUUCUUGUCUAUUUCCGUAGUGAGAAUGAUCAUGCAGACCAUCUGAGAAUUGUGUUGCAGACCCGUAGAGCUCAUUAGUUGUUCACCAAAUUCAGUAAGUGUGAAUUUUAGCUAAGAUCAGUAGCUUUCCUUGGCCAUAUUAUUUCCAGUGAUGGCAUUAGAGUUUACUCUUAAAAGAUCAAAGUAGUGAGAAACUGGCCCAGACCCAUCUCUCCAUCAAAUAUCAGGAGUUAUUGAGCUUGGAAGGCUAUUACAGAUGGUUUGUUGAGGUGUUUUCUUCUAUUGGUUCCCCUAUAUCUCGAUUGACUCAGAAUAAAGUCAAGUUUCAGUGAUCAGAUUCUUCCGAGAAGAGUUUUUAGGAGUUGAAAACUCGACUUACUUUAGCCUCAAUAUUAACUUUGCCAGAUGGUUCAGAUAGGUUUGUAGUUUACUGUGAUGCUUCCAGACUUGGUUGUGUGUUAAUGCAAAGAGGUAAGGUCAUAGACUAUUCUUCUAAAUAACUUAAGUUCCAUGAAAAGAAUUAUCCUACCCAUGAUCUUAAGUUGGCAGCUGUUGUGUUUGCUUUGAAGAUAUGAAGACAUUACCUUUAUGGGGUUUAUGCUAAUGUGUUCACGGAUCACAAAAGUUUGCAGUAUGUGUUAUCAUAGAAAUAUCGACUCUUCAUUAGAAAAGGUGGCUUGAGUUAUUGAAAGAUUAUGAGAUGAGUGUAUUGUAUCAUUUGGGCCAGGCCAAUAUAGUGGCAGAUGCCCUUAGCAAGUUGUCUAGGAGUAGUGUUUCUCAUGUUGAGAGGGAUAAGAAGAUGUUAAUCAGUGAGGUUCAUCAGCUUUCUAGAUUAAGUGUUCGAUUGGUUAAUUCAGCAGGAGUACUAGCCUAAAGGAAGGCUAAAAAGCAAAAUUGAAACUAGAUCUACAAAAAUCAGCAAGAACAUAAAGAGAAAACAACACUUAGAAAGGAGAUGAAGAAGAAGAAUUGCAUAAAAUUAAAGAUAGAUAGAAAGACCCUUACUUCUACCAAAUGAUUAAAUAAAUAUGGUGUAUCAAACCAUCAAUCACACCUCAUCAAUAGAAGUUCAAACCUUCCUCUUAGGUGACCCAACGGACUCACACUUCCUUAAGCACACCUUUCUUGCCAAAUUACCCAAGACAAGUGAAAAUCAAUUCAAAUGUAUCAAGGUUCAAGUUUCGGUUUUCCUCUCUUAAGGAGAAGGAGAAAACUACAAUCUAACACUAAAGAUUACAAUCUAAAAAGUCACUCAAUUCAUCAUCUUAAAACUUAGGAAAAAUAAGAGCUAAGGUGCCUAUUUAUACUUAUUACAAACAAGGACAAAAAUACCCUUAAUGAAGGGUGCUCCUUUGGAGUGUAAAAAGGGAGUCUUAAAAUACAACAAUAUCCCUAAAAUGGGGCACCUCUUGAGUGUCAAAUCAUAGUGUGCAAAGUCCAUUUUGUCCUACAAGUGAGGCGCCUCUCGAGUGUAAUGGUUCCCUUCUCCUUUUUUAACUUAACAAGGCUUUAAAAUGCUCCAAACACUUGCCAAUUCCGAAGUUUGAACCCUUGACAAUUCCUUGUACAAUUUUGUCCACCUCAUUCUUGUAUCAUCCUCUCCAUCUUGAAGGAAUUUGUCCUCAAAUUCAGAUCUUGGAAAACCAAAGAGACAAGAAAAACAAGCACACAAACCUCUUGGUUGGAGGGUUAGCAUUAGUGUCAAAUUAUAUGAACACACUAAGGGGGCACACUCUUAGAAUAUAGCCAACAAUAUGGUUUGAUAUGCAUCAAAGAGAGGAGAGUGCAACCCAAAAUCAUCACAUAUUUCAACACGCCAAGGUUGUUCACAUUUGAAAUACGACCACGGGUCCUUUUUUUGUGUCAUGAAAAAAUUAGCAUGAAUUGCAUAAAGAAGGUGGUUUUGGUAAAUAUCAAGAGAUAAGGAAACUACAAUGGUCUUAAUGGCUUUACUAUACCUAAAAGGUAAGACUACCUUUGGCUUGGAAACCAUAAGAUACAUUUGUUUCGUUGCCUAUACAAAGGACAUCAUCAAAUAUGGUUUGAUAUAGGUGUACCAAGAUAUCCUACAAGUUCACGAGCAUUCACACAUAGCCAAGCUAGGGAGUUACAAAAACUCCAAUCCUUGUUCAUGCAAAUGGCCGUUUGUGAGUUGGUGAUUGAUCCAACUAAUGGUAUAAAUGUUUUUAAGUGUGAAGAGGGGCCUUGAAGUGUAAUAAACUUACACUCCAAGGCCACCCCAUGGAAACGGCAAUCUGGUCAUUUUCUCCUUCAUUUAUAGUGUAAUAUAAAUAGACAAUAUUAGGGUUAUUUGGCAGCUAGUUCUUUCAUAAUAUUUUGAGACAUAAAUACUUGUAAUAUUGAGGAACUUCUCACUCUUCCAUUGGAGAAGCCCCAAAUCUGAAAACUCAUAAGUAGAGUGAUACUUAUGUUGUAUCUUGGAUAGAAACAAAGAUCUUGAGGUCAUAGAGCUCCUCUUGGUCCAAGUAAGAACUUGGUGUUAAUAUUCUUUAGUCUUAGGGUCCUCUCUUGUUGUUAGGGUUCUUAGACUCUUGAAUAUUACAUGUCAAGUUACUAUAUUCUUGUAGUCUUGUUAAGAUUGUGUUUUGUAAUCUUCAAGUUUAGUGAAGCCGUGUGGGGCUCUUUUGAUUCACUAGCACCUUGUUGAUUUGCUGGUUCUUCUUGAAAACUUCAUCAUCUUUUUCUGAAAACGUGAUUCUUAAAGCCUAGUAAAGCCAUGUGUGGCCUAUUUCGAUUCACUAGCACUUGUUGUUCAACUUGUUGUUUUGGUGUUAGUUUGUUCAUCUUGUUGAUCUUGCUGGAUUCUUGCAUUGUGGACUUGAUAUUGUAUCAUUUGGUAUCAAAGAAAGGCUGGUUGUAUUCCUACUACCAAUCUUGGGCUCUCUUGGAUGAAAAUUCAAAAAAAAAUGUUGAAAUCUGAAAAUUCUAGAAAAAGAAAAAGAGAAAUCUGUCCAUCUUUUGUCUUGGCCAAGAUUGGUGUUUGUGUGUUUAUAUCUAGGUGUUAUUUUACUUGUUUAGUGUGUUUAUAGUGUUGGUUUCUUUCUCACCAACACUAAAAGUGUCUAGAUCUAAAGUUGAGCUUAUAAUAUUGACCAUUGUUGUGGCAACUUGAAGUGGGCCGUAGGUUGUACCUUGUUGAUGACAAUUGGUGGUUUUGUGUUGUGUUCUUGAAGAAGUUGAUAUUGUGUUCUUGAAGUUUGUAGUGGUGUUCAUCUUGUUCUUCAUCUAUUCUUAUAACUUAAGACAACAAAGGUGUAAAAUAGAUCCAAAAGGUUGUAAGACAAAAGUUAUAAAGUUGUUGGUGAGAAGACUUGCACACAUCACUUCCUACACUUAACAACCACUUUUCCUUAAAUCAAGGGACCUUGUUUUGUGGGAUUAGUAUAGUCAAAUCUCACCUUUUUGAGUUUGAAAAGUUAAAAGGAGUACAAGACUUUUACUUUCCCUCCAAAACCAAUUGUUAUCCAUUACAAGUUGUGUGACUAUUGAAAUUUCAGAUUUGUGACAAAAAAAUUGUUGUGUGGGACCAAGACCAAUUACAUGCUGCCACAUCACCAUUGCUACUGACACGUCACUAAUAAGCUCAAAUUUAGAUAUUUUCUAGUUUCUAAUGUUGAUUCUUGUUUUCCUUACUUGGUUCUAGAACUAAUUAACAAACUAGUACAUUCCUACUAGGUUGUCAAUUAGUCCUUUGAAUCCGUUUGUUCGUGUCAACGAUUACUUGGGUGCUUCUAUAUUUUGAAUACGUUGCUACUUCUUGGUUCUAGUCCAACGAGAAUUAUUUGAGUCUUCAAAAAUGAAUCCACUCCAGAUAAGAUAUUACUCAUACCUUAAGGAUUCAUGGGUUACUAGCCAAUCUACAACACUUGUGGAACUAAAGUGUGAGGUGAUCCAAAGAGUGUAAGUGAGGAGAGGAUUUUUUUUCACUAACUUGUUUACUGAUUUUGUAGGUAUUAACCUUUACAAUGGAUGGGACGACAUCCCAAAAUAUGGAUACUAAUGCUCUUGACUCUAUGAAGGCCACUCUUAAGGCUGUUACUCGAACACUUAAAAGGUUGAAUACGGAAGUUGGAGCUGUGAGAGGGGAUUUAACAACAAUAAAUAGAUAUGUGUCGGCUAUUAGUGGGAGAUUAGAACAAGUGGAGAGUCAAAGAAACUCUCUCUUCUACUCCUCUACAUAUUUCUUCAAGUGGUCAUGAUAGAACUUCAUCCGCAACCAUCACUCCCAAAACAAUGCACUAAAUGCUAAAUCCACCCAAAGCUCCACUAAAUGCCGCAAGCCAAACCACUCCUUUCCCUCCAAACCAUGACCCCACUAGACCAAUAAAUUUCCAAACUCCUCAAGUUCCACAAGAGGGACUUGGACGUCAAGUACCUCCGCUAAAUCCAAACCCUACCUUCCAGCUUCAUUAAACCAAAGACCACCACCUCCACAAAAUCCAAUUCCUCCAAAUCAAGUUUAAAAUGUCCAAAACCGUCUAGCCCACUUUGAGAAAUAUGGUAGAGAGGGAUAUGAAGGAUAUGGAGCCUUUAAGGAUGCUUACAUGAAGGAGGAGGAGAUGAGAGGGGGUUGUGGAGUCAAAGGAGAUAUUGAGGGUAUGGAUAAAGGAGAAACCGACACCAAGAGAGAGAUGUAGGCAUCAACACCAUCAAGUUGAGCCUACCAAUCUUUAAAGGUGAAAGUGAUCCCAAGGUCUACUUAGCUUUGGAAUCGGCUUGUGACAAAGUUUUCCAAGUUAAUGAUAUCUCAGAAUAAAAGAAAAGUUGUUAUACCAUAGCUCAUUUUGAGGGUUAUGCUAACACUUGGUGGGAGUACGUCAAGCGGUUUGAUAAUGAAUUAGUUGAUGGGCAGCCACCACCUUGGUUUCAGUUGAGGUACUUGAUGAGACAACGGUACCUUCCCGAGAGUUAUCGCCAUGAGUUGCUUGUUAGAUUGUACAACUUGCGUCAAGGUAACAAAAGUGUGAUGGCGUAUUAUGAUGAGUUUUAACAACUCAUGUUGAAGCUUGAUCAUCGUGGGGAACAGAUCAGUCAUGACAUCAUUCGGUUCAAGUGUGGGUUGACAAAGAGAUCUCCACUCAUUUAACACUUCACAAGUUUGAUACCGUUGAAGGUAUUUUUCAAGCGGCUCUUGAGAUUGAAAGGGAACUUAAAGAGAGGUCAUCAUUCAAGGAAAGGGGACAAUCCACCUCGGGUUGUCCUAGAAUCAAGGAGAUGGCUCAAUAUUCUUUGGUUUGGCCCAAAAACAAGGACCAAACCGCCACUACAAGGCUGCCCGAGCCUAAAACAGUCCAGAAAAUUCCUCCAAAGUAAGAAGUUACCCAAAGGGAUUCCAAUGUUUCAAGUGCCAAGGUUGGGUACAUAAAUCCAAUAAAUGUCCAAACCAAUGCAACGUGAUUCUACGGGAAGGGAGAUUGUAUUACCUUGGUGAAGAGGUGGGUCUUAAAAAAUGAGAGGAUGAGGCUGAGCCUCAAGAUGGAGAGAAAACCAAGAAUGGACCACAUAAUGAUGAUGAUAAUGAUGAUGGUGAAGAUGUUUAUCCACAAGAAGGGGAGUGUAUGGUUCCAAACUUUAUAGUUAGGCGCAUCAUGAUUAGUAAGGUAAUAGAUGACCUAAGUCAAGGAAAAAAUCCAUUCCAUACUAAAUUUCUUGUAAAGGGGAGUAUGUGCACUUUGGUGAUCGAUAGUGGUAGUUGUGAAAAUGUUGUUAGUGUUGCUAUGGUAAACUUUUUGAAGUUUCCAACUACACCGCAUACUAGUCCUUACAAGUUACAAUGGUUGAAUGAAUGUGGUGAAUUAAAGGUCACAAGGAAAUGUGUGAUACGGUUUAAGGUGGGAAACUACCACGAUGAAGUACUUUGUGACAUGAUACCAAUGCAAAUGUGUCACUUGUUGUUAGGUAGACCUUGGCAAUAUGAUAUGUCUACCAAAUAUGAUGGGAGGUCCAAUCGAUAUACACUUGAGAAGGAUGGCCAAAAGGUCACACUUCAUCCUCUUUUGCCUUCCCAAGUAAAUGAGUGCCAUCAAAAGAUGAGAGAAAUGAAGGAAAAGGGAAAAAAUCUGAAAAGGAAGAAAAAAAAGGGAACCCAUAGGUGGGGCAGUAGGGGUAUCCGAGGCUGCCUCAACAUCAAAAGGGAAGGAAAACAUGGUGAUGUUGGUUAGAAAGAAGGAACUCUUUGUGGAUCAUGAUGAGGACACACCUAUGUUACUUUUGGCUCAUUGUUUUAACACUAACCUCACUAAUUCUUCAUUUCUCCUUUGAUUUCUUGUGUGUUGCAGGAUUAUGAAGAUGUAUUUCUUGAAGAACUUCCACAAGGAUUGCCCCCACUUCAGGGAAUUAAGCACCAAAUUGAUUUUGUGCCAGGCUCACAAUUGCCAAACAAGCUGGCUUAUAGAAGCAACUCUAUAGAAACCAAAGAAUUACAACGUCAAGUUGAGAAACUCCUCAACAAAGGGUAUAUCAAAGAGAGCAUGAGUCCCUGCGCAGUUCCAGUGCUACUAGUGCCUAAGAAAGAUGCAACGUGGCAUAUGUGUGUGGACUGUCGAGCCAUCAACAAGACUAUGGGAAAAUAUCGUCACCCUAUCCCUAGGUUAGAUGAUAUGCUUGAUAAAUUGAAUGGUUCGUGUUUAUUUUCCAAGAUUGAUUUGAAGGGUGACUAUCACCAAAUAAGAAUGCAACCCGACGAUGAAUGGAAAACCGCCUUCAAGACCAAGUUUGGUCUCUAUGAAUAGAUGGUUAUGCCAUUCGGACUAACAAAUGCUCCAAGUACUUUUAUGAGGCUAAUGAAUCAUGUGAUGAAGCCAUUUAUUGGAAAGUUUGUUGUUGUCUAUUUUGAUGAUAUCUUGGUUUAUAGCAAGUCUUUAGAUGAGCAUGUGAUGCAUUACAAUAGGUGUUUGAUGUCCUUAGAAAGGCAAAACUAUACGUAAAUCUAGAAAAAUGCUCCUUUAUUGUUAAUGAAGUUGUUUUCUUGGGUUUUGUUAUUAGUUCAAGAGGGGUUGAAGUGGAUGAAUCCAAGAUAAACUCUAUCAAAAAUUAGCCAAUCCCACAAACCGUUGGAGAAGUAAGAAGCUUCCAUGGGUUGGCUAGUUUUUAGAGAAGGUUUGUCAAUGGAUUUAGCAUCAUAGCUGCCCCCUUGACUGAGGUCAUUUGGAAACCCUUCAAGUGGGAUGACGAUAAAGCUAAGACUUUUGAAUCUUUGAAAGGUAUGCUCAUCUCUGUGCCUUUGUUACAAUUGCCCAACUUUGAUAAGACAUUCAAAGUUGAGUGCGAUGCGAGUAAAGUAGGCAUAGGAGCUGUUUUGAUGCAAGAUUUAAAAACCAUUGCUUACUUUAGCAAAAAGCUCAAAGGAGCAACUCUAAACUACUCCGCAUAUGAUUUACAGUUGCAUGCCUUGAUUAGAGCCUUGGCCACUUGGCAACACUACUUAUGGCCUAAGGAGUUCGUGAUUCGAAUGGACCAUGAAUCCUUAAAGCAUCUUCGAGCACAAGACAAGCUUAACAAAUGGCAUGCCAAAUGGAUUGAGUUUCUUUAGACCUUCCCUUAUGUUACCCAAUAUAAGAAGCGUAAGACGAUGUAGUAGCCGAUAAUUUAUCUAGAAAACAUGUUCUUGUGUCCAAUUUGUCAUCAAAAUUAAUGGGUUUCAAGAGCUUAAGAGGAUUGUGUCCCGAGGAACCUCACUUUGCUCCUAUAUUUAGGGAAUGUAAAGAGUUGGGUAGGGACAAGUGGGAUUCGGCUAGGGGUUUAAAUCCCUAUUCCAAGUUUGAUGGUUACUUAUUUAAAGGUAGACGAUUGUGUGUACCCUCUAGCUCUUGGAGAGAGUUGUUUGUGAGGAAGCACAUGAUGGCAGUCUAAUGUGUUAUUUUGGGAUCAAAAUGACCCUCAGAAUAUUGGAGGAGCAAUUCUAUUAGCCAAGAAUGCACAAGGAUGUGGUUAGGAUUUGCGGCCAAUGUGUAGAAUAUAAAGAAGCCAAAUCUUGGCUCCUACCUCAUGAGUUGUACACCUCGAUGCCCACACCUCUAUGUCCUUGGCAUGAUAUAUCUAUGGAUUUCGUGUUGGGGAUGCCAAGGACUAGACGAGGCUGGGAUAGUAUCUUUGUUGUAGUCUAUCGAUUUUCUAAGAUGGCGCACUUUAUUCCUUGCUAUAAAUAUGAUAACGCACCUAGCAUGGCCUCUUUAUUUAUUGAUAAUAUUGUCAAAUUGCAUGGCGUUUCGAGGACCAUUGUGAGUGAUAGGGACUCUAAGUUCCUAAGUCACUUUUGGAAGUCCAUGUGGGGUAGGCUUGGUACCAAGUUGUUGUUCUCUACAUCUUAACACCCACAAACCGAUGGCCAAACGGAAGUAGUACAUAGGACUUUGGGUGUUAUGCUACGUUUCGUGGUUAAGGGAAAAAUGACUUCUCGGGAGGAGAACUUACCAUUGAUUGAGUUUGCCUAUAAACGUGUCAUACACUCAAGUACGGGAGUAACUCCCUUUGAGUGUGUAUACAGCCUCAACCCCCUUACCCCUUUGGAUUUAACGGUUUUUCCAAGUUAUCUCAUGAUUAUCUUAGAUGGAAACAAGCAGGCAGAUUCUAUGAAGAAGUUACAUGAGAAGGUGCGCUUUGACUUAAGAAGAAAAACCAAGAAAUUGCAAGGAGGGCCAACAAGGGGAGAAAGAAACUCAUUCUUAAACCGGGAGAUUAGUUGUGGGUGCAUCUUCGAAAGGAUCGGUUUCCAUCUCAAAGAAAGUCAAAAUUGAUGUCGAGGAGUGAUGAUCCAUUCAAAAUACUUGAGAAAAUCAAUGACAAUGCCUACAAGAUUGACCUUCCACCAGAAUAUCAAGUGCACAACACUUUCAAAGUGUGUAAUAUUUCUCUCGUGGAUAUGGUUGAAGAUGAACAAAUGCCAAAACUGAGGUCAAAUUCCUCUCAAUAUGGAGAGGAUGAUACGGGUGUAGCAAGCUUUCCAAUAAAUUCAUGACCAUUCACACAUAGCCAAGCUCGGGAGUUACAAAAACUCCAAGCCUUGUUCAUCCAAAUGGCCAUUUGUUAGUUGGUGAUUGAUCCACCUAAUGGUAUAAAUGUUUUUAAGUGUGAAGUGGGUCCUUGAAGUGUAAUAAACUUACACUCCAAGGCCACCCCAUGGAAAGGGCAAUCUGGUUAUUUUCUCCUUCAUUUAUGGUGUAAUAUAAAUAGACAAUAUUAGGGUUAUUUGGAAGCUAGUUCUUUCAUAAUAUUUUGAGACAUAAAUACUUGUAAUAUUGAGGAACUUCUCACUCUUCCAUUGGAGAAGCCCCAAAUCUGAAAACUCACAAGUGAUACUUGUGUUGUAUCUUGGCAAGAAACAAGGAUCCCGAAGUCAUGGAGUUCCUCUUGGUCCAAGUAAGAACUUUGUGUUAAUAUUCUUUAGUAUUAGGGUCCUAUCUUGUUGUUAGGGUUCUUAGACUCUUGAAUAUUACAUGUCAAGUUACUAUCUUCUUGUAAUCUUCUUGUUGAAAACUUCAUCAUAUUGUUCUAAAAAUGUGAUUCUUAAAGCCUAGUGAAUCCGUGUGUGGCCUAUUUUGAUUCACUAGAACUUGUUGUUCAACUUGUUAUUUUUGGUGUUAGUUUGUUCAUCUUGUUGUUCUUGCUAGAUUCUUACAUUGUGGACUUGAUAUUGUAUCAUAGUUCCACUAUUGAUCCUAAGUUCCACCUCAGCCACAUAUCACUAUCAUUCAAAUAAGGAAACCAUCCACCAAACUUCCUACCUAUACACAAUACAAAUUCAAAAUUAGUAUGGUUAUCAUCAUAGGUAAAGAGGUAGUAUAGAAAGGAAUCAAGUGUGAAGACAUCAUGCUGAGGGGGUGCACUUUUAAAAUACUACCAGCAAUGCCUUAUUUUAUCCAUGAAACAUUUAGUAUAUGCAUCACAAAGGAUAGGGCUAAGGUAAACAUCACGGGACAAUAAGCUCAAGCCAAAAUAAUCCCUUCCCCACCCCACUAGUACACCGGGAUCAAAUGGGUGAAGUGGCCAAGGGAAUAAACUGAGGCUACUCAUUCCAUUUACUAGGGUAUAACACUUACCCAAAGCAUUAUCAAAGAAGGAAGCAUGUACUUCUACACUAGAUGUACCCGAAAUCAUAUCACAACUUUUUAAACUCAAGGGAGUGUAGAAUGUACCCAAGUUACCUCGGUUUGUACUAGGGAAGCCCACUAGUUUGUAAAAACUCUUGUCCCUUGGUAAUGGAACCUUAUUCAAGUUAUAAGUGCUAGCACUAGAUGGACACAAAUCAUUCUUACGAAAAGAAUUGAUUCUGUCAUCUAAAGGAUCAACUAGUGCUUGCAUACUCACAACAAGAGUUUGGUCCUUAUGCAACCUAACAACACCAAGUGUAUCACAAAAGGAAGAUUCACACAUGAUACAAGAAUAAUGGCUGCCUUAGCUUUUGACGACAUCAUUCAAAGUUACUAUGUGAAGAAUCAAGCUUUGGUUGCAUGGAGGGCACUGGAUCAUACUUGGAGGGGAUGUUUUUAGCCUACCAUUGAUCAAACCCAAGUGUGAAAGAUUACUUGGAGCCUUAAAGACUUAAGGACUCUCAGGUUUGGACCACCUUUGUUGGUUCACGGUUUUGGUUUCCUUUACUAAGGGAAUUUUGGUCACUUAGCUUUAUGGGCAUUUUGGACAAUGCAUAUUGUCUUCCAACACACCAAGGCCACCCUUGGUCAUUAAGGGUAAUGUGGUCUUUUUGUCUACUUUUGUAAUAUACUAUAAGUAGUGCAUUUUAGGUCUUUUCUCUUUAGUUUAUGAAAGAUGAAAUAUUGAAACACUUAAAAUCCUCUCUGUUGAGAGUAGACCAACUUAGUGUAGUUCUAGUAUAGGGCUUGGAAAAGCUAACAUUGUUCUUUGCUUGGAAACAGUGGAUCUUGAGGUGAGUUUAUUCUCUUGGCGGUCAUCGUAAGAGUGUGGUUUUGAUUAUCAUUAGGGGUUUUUGAGUUUAAUACAUUCUUUAGUUCUUAAUCUUGUAGUAAUCUUGGUCUCACUAUCUAUCCUUUACUUUUGUUGUUGUUAUCUUGUGUAGUGGACUGUUUUGGGUCAUUAAUUGAAUCCAAAACUUUUGUUAUUGUUGUUUAUCCCUUAUAUCUUGUAUUCUUGUUGUUGGUAGUGAAUCCGAGUGUGGUUUCCAUCUUGAUCCUCGAAUCCUUAAGAUUAGUGGACUGAUUUGGAGUGUGAUUUCAUGUUUCCUUUGUCAUUCCCGUAUCAUUUGGUAUCAAAGCAUGGCUUUAUCUUGUUCCCACAAGAUCAAUCUUGGGCUUGUUAGUUGAAAAAUCAGAAAAAAAUUGUUAAAAAAAAAAGUUAACAUCUGAAAAUUCCAGAAAAAUAGCAAUUUGUCCAUUUUGUGUUCUUGGCCGAAAAUUGUGUUCUUAUUGUUUAUUGGCCAAUAUUUUUACUUUUUUUGUUGUCUCUAAGUGUUAGUUUUGUUCCUCACUAACACGUUCAGUCUAUAUCUUAGAUUUGAGCUUGAAAUAUUGAUGUUGUUAAUGUGAACAAAGUGUGGCCAAUUGUCGUUGCGGGUUCAAGACUUGAACGUGUGAUGUGUUGUUGGUUCAAGUUUUGAACGCGUAUUGUGGAGAUUGUGUUGUGGAAUUUAAUCUUGGGAAGUUGUUGUUGUUGUUUGGGAGGUCCAACUUGAACCUUUGAACUUCAAGACUCAAAGUUUGUGUUCUUGGUGUUCUUCACAAUCUCCAUAUAUUGUUGAAAAAAAAAGUGGUUGUUGAUCUUAGAAGUUAAAGAAAAAGAGUGUGUAUUGUUUUAGUCUUGUAAGACAUAGAUCCAAGUUUCAAGGUGUAGUACUUGUGACUCAAAGACUUUUCCUAUACACUAAAGACUUUACAUCACUUCUCAACCACUUUCCCAUGAAACAAGGGUCCAUGUUUUAAGGAAAAGUACUACAAAAGUCAAGUCUUGAAAUUUGAAACUUG
rnacentral:lncRNA from 1 species